rnacentral:ncRNA from 1 species
UAUAUAACUAUGAAGAGAAGAGUAAAUAUUUAGAAUUAUUUUAGCGAACUGGUUAUGGUGAAAGUCCAGUAAUAAGUCUUUUAUUGAAGAACAUCUCUGAGUUUCUAACCGAAAUUUAAUCAUAAAAAGUAGGCUUAGAGGUAUUGAGCGUCUUAUAGCUUAUAGAAUAGGCAAAUUCUAUUCUAUAAAAGAUUGGUCAUUUUAUGACAAAUUGGGUGGUACCGCGGAUUUAUAGCUCUUUCGUCCCUUUA